rfam:Kwoniella mangroviensis CBS 10435 unplaced genomic scaffold supercont2.4, whole genome shotgun sequence.
AUCUACGGUCAUAGAAUCCAUAUAACGCCGCAUCCCGUCAGCUCUGCGCAGCCUAAGCUGGGUAUCGCUCGGUUAGUACCAACGUGGGGGACCAGUUGGGAACCCCGAGUGCUGUAGUUU